rnacentral:rRNA from 1 species
GGCUAUGGCCACAACACCCUGAACACGCUCGAUCUCAUCUGAUCUCAGAAGCCGCGCAGGGUCAGCCCUUGUUAGUACUUGGAUGAGAGAAUUAUUGAAAAUUAUUGCUGAACUACCCGCCACUAUAACCU